UUUCCGUAGGUGAACCUGCGGAAGGAUCAUUAUUGUACAACCGAGGUGCGAGGGCCGUCGCUCACCCGAAACGCCGCGCACGCCCGAGUGCCCUCCCAGUCAUCCAUCUCACCCCCAUGUGCACCACCGCGCGGGUCGCCCCUUGGCGUGUCCGCAGGGCGGCUUACGCUUCCAUACAAAGUUUGGCAUCAGUGUAGAAUGUAUUAUUUGUUUUUGCGAACACGCAAUCUAUACAAUUGUCAACAACGGAUUCCUUGGCUCUGGCAUCGAUGCAAAAUC
rnacentral:misc_RNA from 1 species